AACGAACGCUGGCGGCAGGCUUAACACAUGCAAGUCGAACGCAUCGCAAGAUGAGUGGCAGACGGGUGAGUAACGCGUGGGAAUCUACCCAGUUCUACGGAACAACAGUUGGAAACGACUGCUAAUACCGUAUACGCCCUGCGGGGGAAAGAUUUAUCGGAAUUGGAUGAGCCCGCGUAAGAUUAGCUAGUUGGUGGGGUAAUGGCCUAUCAAGGCGACGAUCUUUAGCUGGUCUGAGAGGAUGAUCAGCCACACUGGGGCUGAGACACGGCCCAGACUCCUACGGGAGGCAGCAGUGGGGAAUAUUGGACAAUGGGCGCAAGCCUGAUCCAGCCAUGCCGCGUGAGUGAUGAAGGCCUUAGGGUUGUAAAGCUCUUUCACCGAUGAAGAUAAUGACGGUAGUCGGAGAAGAAGCCCCGGCUAACUUCGUGCCAGCCGCCGCAGUAACAC
rnacentral:rRNA from 1 species